rnacentral:rRNA from 1 species
CCUACGGGUGGCAGCAGUGGGGAAUAUUGCGCAAUGGGCGAAACCCUGAUGGUGCGACGCCGCGUGGGGGAAUGAAGGUCUUCGGAUUGUAAACCCCUGUCAUGUGGGAGCAAAUUAAAAGAUAGUACCACAAGAGGAAGAGACGGCUAACUCUGUGCCAGCAGCCGCGGUAAUACAGAGGUCUCAAGCGUUGUUCGGAAUCACUGGGCGUAAAGCGGGCGUAGGCGGUUUCGUAAGUCGUGUGUGAAAGGCGCGGGCCCAACCCGCGGACGGCACAUGAUACUGCGAGACUAGAGUAAUGGAGGGGGAACCGGAAUUCUCGGUGUAGCAGUGAAAUGCGUAGAUAUCGAGAGGAACACUCGUGGCGAAGGCGGGUUCCUGGACAUUAACUGACGCUGAGGCACGAAGGCCAGGGGAGCGAAAGGGAUUAGAUACCCUAGUAGUC